CUGCUAUCGGAUUGAUACUAAGCCAUGCGAGUCUUUGUAGUAAUACAAGGCAUACGGCUCAGUAACACGUAGUCAACCUACCCUAUGGACAAGAAUAAUCUCGGGAAACUGGGCAUAAUUCUUGAUAGAUCAUAAUGCCUGGAAUGGUUUAUGGUUAAAAUGAUUCGUCGCCAUAGGAUGGGACUGCGGCCUAUCAGCUUGUUGGUGAGGUAAUGGCCCACCAAGGCGAUUACAGGUACGGGCUCUGAGAGGAGAAGCCCGGAGAUGGGUACUGAGACACGGACCCAGGCCCUAUGGGGCGCAGCAGGCGAGAAAACUUUGCAAUGUGCGAAAGCACGACAAGGUUAAUCCGAGUGAUUUCUGCUAAAGAAAUCUUUUGCCAGUCAUAAAACCACUGGUGAAUAAGGGGUGGGCAAGUUCUGGUGUCAGCCGCCGCGGUAAAACCAGCACCUCAAGUGGUCAGGAUGAUUAUUGGGCCUAAAGCAUCCGUAGCCGGCUUUGUUAGUUUUCGGUUAAAUCCAUGUGCUCAACGCAUGGGCUGCCGAAAAUACUGCAUAGCUAGGGAGUGGGAGAGGUAGACGGUACUCAGUAGGAAGGGGUAAAAUCCUUUGAUCUAUUGAUGACCACCUGUGGCGAAGGCGGUCUACCAGAACACGUUCGACGGUGAGGGAUGAAAGCUGGGGGAGCAAACCGGAUUAGAUACCCGGGUAGUCCCAGCUGUAAACGAUGCAGACUCGAUGAUGCAUUGGCAUAAUAGCCAGUGCAGUGUCGCAGGGAAGCCGUUAAGUCUGCCGCCUGGGAAGUACGUACGCAAGUAUGAAACUUAAAGGAUUGGCGGGGAGCACCACAAGGGUGAAGCCUGCGGUUCA
rnacentral:rRNA from 1 species